rnacentral:rRNA from 1 species
GACGAACGCUGGCGGCGUGCUUAACACAUGCAAGUCGAACGGAAAGGCCCUGCUUUUGUGGGGUGCUCGAGUGGCGAACGGGUGAGUAACACGUGAGUAACCUGCCCUUGACUUUGGGAUAACUUCAGGAAACUGGGGCUCAUACCGGAUAGGAGCUCCUGCUGCAUGGUGGGGGUUGGAAAGUUUCGGCGGUUGGGGCUGGACUCGCGGCUUAUCAGCUUGUUGGUGGGGUAGUGGCUUACCAAGGUUUUGACGGGUAGCCGGCCUGAGAGGGUGACCGGCAACAAUGGUACUGAGAUACGGCCCAGACGCCUACGGGAUGCAGCAGUCGGGAAUAUUGCACAAUGGGGGGAAGCCUGAUGCAGCAACGCCGCGUGCGGGAUGGCCGCCUUCGGGUUGUAAACCACUUUCGCCUGUGACGAAGCGUGAGUGACGGUAAUGGAUAAAGAAGCACCGGCUAACUACGUG